rnacentral:rRNA from 1 species
CUCGUAUAGGAGGUCCAGCCUGCCCAGUGACUACAAGUUCAACGGCCGCGGUAUUUUGACCGUGCAAAGGUAGCGCAAUCACUUGUCUUUUAAAUGAAGACCUGUAUGAAUGGCCAAACGAGGGCUUAGCUGUCUCCCCCAUCAAGUCAGUGAAAUUGAUCUAUCCGUGCAGAAGCGGGUAUUAGCAUACAAGACGAGAAGACCCUUUGGAGCUUAAGGUACAAAUCCACCUACGUUAAACAGCUUCCUAAGCAAGCACAAACCUAAUAGAAUAUGGAAUUUUACCUUCGGUUGGGGCGACCACGGAGAACAAAAAAUCCUCCAAGUGGAUUGGGAACUUCCCUAAAACCAAGAAAGACAUUUCCAAGUCACAGAAAAUCUGACCAAAUAUGAUCCGGCCACCCCGGGCCGAUCAACGAACCAAGUUACCCUAGGGAUAACAGCGCAAUCCCCUCCAAGAGUCCAUAUCGACGAGAGGGUUUACGACCUCGAUGUUGGAUCAGGACAUCCUAAUGGUGCAGCCGCUAUUAAGGGUUCGUUUGUUCAACGAUUAAAGUCCUACGUGAUCUGAUUCAGACCGGA